rnacentral:rRNA from 1 species
CCUACGGGAGGCUGCAGUGGGGAAUAUUGGACAAUGGAGGGAACCCUGAUCCAGCGAAGCCGCGUGAGUGAAGAAGGAUUUCGGGAUGGAAAGCUCUAUCAGCAGGGAAGAAAGAAAUGACGGUACCGGACUAAGAAGCAUCGGCUAACUACGAGCCAGCAGCCGCGGUAAUACGUAGGGGGCAAGCGUUAUCCGGAUUUACUGGGUGUAAAGGGAGCGUAGACGGCGAUGCAAGUCUGAAGUGAACGGCGGGGGCCCAACCCCCGGACUGCUUUUGAAACGGUAUGGCUUGAGUGCAGGGGCGGUUACUGGAAUUCCUAGUGUAGCGGUGAAAUGCUUAGAUAUUAGGAGGAACUCCAGUGGCGAAGGCGGCUUACUGGACUGUAACUGACGUUGAGGCUCGAAAGCGUGGGUAGCAAACAGGAUUAGAUACCCGUGUAGUC